rnacentral:misc_RNA from 1 species
GAAAUGCGAUAAGUAAUGUGAAUUGCAGAAUUCCGUGAAUCAUCGAAUCUUUGAACGCACAUUGCGCCCCCUGGCAUUCCGGGGGGCAUGCCUGUCCGAGCGUCAUUUCUGCCCUCAAGCACGGCUUGUGUGUUGGGUGUGGUCCCCCCGGGGACCUGCCCGAAAGGCAGCGGCGACGUCCGUCUGGUCCUCGAGCGUAUGGGGCUCUGUCACUCGCUCGGGAAGGACCUGCGGGGGUUGGUCACCACCAUAUUUCACCACGGUUGACCUCGGAUCAGGAAGGAGUUACCCGCUGAACUUAAGC